GACGAACGCUGGCGGCGUGCUUAACACAUGCAAGUCGAACGGAAAGGCCUCUUUCGGGGGGUACUCGAGUGGCGAACGGGUGAGUAACACGUGAGUAACCUGCCCUUUACUUUGGGAUAACUUCAGGAAACUGGGGCUAAUACCGGAUAGGAGCUCCUGCUGCAUGGUGGGGGUUGGAAAGUUUCGGCGGUUGGGGAUGGACUCGCGGCUUAUCAGCUUGUUGGUGGGGUAGUGGCUUACCAAGGCCUUGACGGGUAGCCGGCCUGAGAGGGUGACCGGCCAAAUUGGGACUGAGGUACGGCCCAGACUCCUACGGGAGGCAGCAGUGGGGAAUAUUGCACAAUGGGUGGAAGCCUGAUGCAGCAACGCCGUGUGCGGGAUGACGGCCUUCGGGUUGUAAACCGCUUUCGCUCAUGACGAAGCUUUGUGUGACGGUAGUGGGUAAAGAAGCACCGGCUAACUACGUG
rnacentral:rRNA from 1 species